rnacentral:sRNA from 14 species
GGUCGAUUGCGUCCAACGCCGCUUCGACGGGGCAGCAGUGUCUUCGACAUGCCUCCAACAAGGCGGAGGGGGCGCUGUCCGAGAGGCCCAAUUUUCGAACGCCAUCGCGAAGUACACACAUUUGUGCGCGCGAGUGGUCGCCGAAGCA